ACACUCCUACGGGAGGCAGCAGUGGGGAAUUUUACGCAAUGGGGGAAACCCUGACGUAGCGACACCGCGUGAGCGAAGAAGCCCUUUGGGGUGUAAAGCUCUGUCAGCUGGAACGAAAACAAUGACGGUACCAGCAGAGGAAGCAUCGGCUAACUACGUGCCAGCAGCCGCGGUAAGACGUAGGAUGCGAGCGUUGUCCGGAUUUAUUGGGCGUAAAGAGUUCGUAGGUGGUUUGUUAAGUUUGGUGUUAAAGAUCGGGGCUCAACCCUGGGACUGCACUGAAUACUGGCAGACUCGAGUGUGGUAGAGGCUAGUGGAAUUCCCAGUGUAGCGGUGAAAUGCGUAGAUAUUGGGAAGAACACCGGUGGCGUAGGCGACUAGCUGGGCCAUAACUGACGCUGAGGAACGAAAGCCAGGGGAGCGAAUGGGAUUAGAAACCCGGGUAGUCC
rnacentral:rRNA from 1 species